AGCGGCAGCGGCAGCAGCAGCAGCAGCAGCAGCAGCAGCAGCAGCAGCAGCGGCGGCGGCGGCGGCCAGCGGCAGCGGAGGAACGGGGGGUCCCGGGUACAUAACUCCGGGCGGUGCAAACACACAUCCCACCCCCCCCCUUCACCCCCGUUCUCACAUCCCUCAGAGAGAGAGAGAGAGAGAGAGGGAAGGAAGAGAGCUGAAAAAAGACCCGCUUUUUUUUAUUAUUAUUCUAUUUUUUUUAAUUAUUUUUAUAUUUAAUUUGGGGCGGGGGGGACACUUUCGCGUUUACAAAACAACCAUCCGCCCCUAAAAAAAAAAAGCCCCAGCAAACCAAAAAUCAAACCCAGCGAGCAAAGCCAGGAUCCUGCUGCUUUGCACUGGAUUUUUACUUUUUUUUUUUUUGACAAUUAUUUUUCCCUCCAUCACCUUUUUCACUAAUUUUUGCAAACGGCCACGCUCGGCUCACGGCCUCCGGUGGGAUUUACUCUGGGGGAAAGAAGCUUUUUCCAUAAAGACACCCCCCCACACCCGUAUGCUCCCCUUCCCGUGGUCCUUUUUGUUUUCAGUUUUUGUUUUUUCUUUUUCCAUUUCCUUGCCAGGAUUCUUCAAACAAAAAUUACGCUUUUUUUCUUUUUUUUAAAUCUUUUUUUUUUUUAAACCGUUUUCUCUAUUCCUUCCCAGGACUCUGGAGUGGUGGGUUAAGUCUUUGUAGCUGUUGUUGUUAUUGUUGCAAAAUAACCUGUAAGUCUGUAAAUAACUCUGCUUGUACGGAAACGUCGGACUGUGCCGGGGAUGCAAAACUGCGCUGGCUUUUCUGGAAGGGCUUUCGUGUCAGCACUUUGCUGGGCAAAGGCCUUUGCUGGGAGGCAUGGGACGGCUGGGAAGGGGGGAAUAGUGCAAAGCCUUUGCAAUCCAUGUCUCGGGUGGGUUUUGCAGCAGGGUGCAGCGGGAAGGGGCCUGUCACCCCGGCCUUCCGCUGGUCCCGUAUGGAAAUGUAUCGCUCUGUAUGUAAAUCCGUGGUGAUUUCUGCCUCUCUA
rnacentral:lncRNA from 1 species